UGUGUCCCCUCCCUGUCUGGAUCCAAACUUCAGACUCACCUGUUGUUGUUUCUGUUGAUCAUCGUUUCACAUCUAAAGUUAUCAGAGAAUCAAACUGAACAUCGUGGAUAUUUUAGUUCCCACAGUAGGACCGUGGUUACCAUGGCGACACAUUCCACCUCCCCAGGACAAGGGGUCAUGUCCCACAGAGUGAUGUCCCUGAAGACUGUCUUCCCUCCAGUUGUUCCCUCUUAAAGAGGCGGUUCUGGGCCAGCAGAGCAGCGAACGCAGGCUGGUUCUGGUUCUGGUUCUGGUGGAGUCACGGAGCCAGAGGCUUCAUUCUGACCGACCCAGGAGGCUGACACCAGAACCAGAGCUGAGUCAGCAGAGACAUUUCAGACAAGAUGCAACCCUGAACCCAUUUAAUACAGAAGAUGCUUCGUUUCAUUCAGACGUCUCGUUUUUUUACAUUUCCUCGCCCUGCCUGCCUGGUGGCUCCCCGCCCACCGCUGCUCUCUGCCUGCCUGACUGCCUGACUGACUGCUGGGCGGACUGGGGCAGAACCGAGCCGACCAGUUCCGUGUUCUGUCCUCCCACGGCGCACACGGGCCGGGCUGAAGUGAGCGGGACGCGCAGGCGGCGCCAUGGUGGACGUCCCGGCGGAGGUGAGAUCAGUGAGAGGUUAAAGGUCAGCAGCAUCAGCCCCUCAUUAGCUCACCUCUGACCCCUGACGGAUUAAAAAUGGCCUCCUGGCUGGGAGGUGAAGCUCGCCGAGUCGUCGUUUUCCCCGCUGAGGAUCUGUGGAAUGAGUUUGAGUGACGGACAGAGACGCCAGAGGAAUUUUCUCGGUGGUUUGGUGACGAUGGAAUAACGUCUGAGUGGAUUGUGCCGUUUGCUGAACUUCAGGCUCAUUAUGGAGCAGGACUUCAUACAGUAGGACCUUCGACCCGCUCUGCCGCUCGUUACGCUUUCAUUUCUGACUCUGCUGCUGUGAAUGGACCUGCGAGUCUCCUAACGCUCGGGGGAGACUCCAGACACACAGAAAACUACAAACAUGGCCGCCACGGGACGGAAGCACUUGGUAAAAGACUUCAACCAUUUCAUCACCUGUUACCUCUGCCGAGGUUACCUGAUCAAACCGACCACAGUCACUGAGU